AGUGAACGCUGGCGGUAGGCCUAACACAUGCAAGUCGAACGGCAGCACAGUAAGAGCUUGCCCUUACGGGUGGCGAGUGGCGGACGGGUGAGGAAUACAUCGGACUCUACUUUUUCGUGGGGGAUAACGUAGGUAAACUUACGCUAAUACCGCAUCCGACCUACGGGUGAAAGCAGGGGAUCUUCGGACCUUGCGCGAUUGAAUUAGCCGAUGCCGGAUUUGCUAGUUGGCGGGGUAAAGGCCCACCAAGGCGACGAUCCGUAGCUGGUCUGAGAGGAUGAUCAGCCACACUGGAACGGGGACAGGGUCAAGACUCCUACGGGAGGCAGCAGUGGGGAAUAUUGGACAAUGGGCGCAAGCAUGAUCCAGCCAUACCGCGUGGGUGAAGAAGGCCUUCGGGUUGUAAAGCCCUUUUGUUGGGAAAGAAAAGCAGCAGGUUAAUACCACGCUGUUCUGACGGUACCCAAAGAAUAAGCACCGGCUAACUUCGUG
rnacentral:rRNA from 1 species